rnacentral:tRNA from 1 species
UGAUGGGUGGUGAGUAACACCAUGCCGCCUUUGGCCGCAUGAGCUGCAAACAGCGCCAACAGGGUACUGACGCCCUGUUUAUCAA